AAAAAGAAGUCCAAAGUGGCUGGAACAGAGAAAACAAGAGUGGUGCAGGCCGUGGCUGGACAGGUGGGUAAGGGCCAGAUCAUGUGGGUCUUGGAGGCCACGGUAGAGAGUUUGUGUCUUGUUCUAAGGACAGUGGGGAACCACCUUAAGGUUUAAGCAGCAGAGGGACAUGAUUAUAUUUGCAUCUAAAAAGAUCACUCUAGCUGAAGUGUAACUAAGAGACAUGAGCAAGACUGGGGAGUGUGGAGUCCAUCAGGAGGCUGCGGCAGUGGUCCAGGAAGGACAGGGCAGUGUCUGAACCAGGUGAGGAUGGUGGAGGUAGAAGAAGGCGGAGAGGUAUCAGAGACGUGGGAGACAGAAUCAAUAGGAUUUGGAUGCAGGGGAGGGGGAGGAGGAAAGGGUGCAUUCGCUAGAGUGUCCGCCUAGAUGACGUGCAGAGUCCUUUGUACCUCUGAGGUGAUAUUCCAUGAGCCGGGGGCAUAUGCAGGGUCACAUGAAUUUGAAAUUUUGUUUUUGUUAAGAAACACACUUGGGGCUUCCCUGGUGGCGCAGUGGUUAAGAAUCCGCCUGCCAGUGCAGGGAACAUGGGUUUGAGCCCUGGUCCGGGAAGAUCCCACAUGCGGCGGAGCAACUAAGCCCACACGCCAUGACUACUGAGCCUGCACUCUAGAGCCCGUGCACCACAACUACUGAAGCCCGUGUGCCUCGAGCCCGUGCUCCGCAACAAGAGAAGCCACCUAAAUGAGAAGCCCGUGCACCGCAAUGAAGAGUAGCCUCGGCUCACCGCAACUAGAGAAAGCCCGUGUGCAGCAACGAAGACCCAAUGCAGCCAUAAAUUUAAAAAAAAAAAAAAAAAAGGACUACAAUUUCAUAAGUUUUGACAUAUGUACACGACCAUAACACCAUCAUUGCAAUCAAGAUAGCGAACAUACCCAUCACCCCAAAACGUCUCCUGGUGCCCCUGGUGGUCCCUCCCUGCCACCCCAUCCCCAGUCAAACACUGAUCUCCUUUGGUUACUAUAGAUUAGUUUGCAUUUUUUAGAGUUUCAUAUAAAUGGAAUCAUAUAAUGUUGUACUCUUUUGGGGGGAAGUUCUGGCUUCUUUUAUUCAUGAAACUCUUCUAUAUACCUUAUCUGAUUAUUUUAAAAAUGACCCUUUAUCAAAGAAUGGAUCUUCAGAGAGGCUAAGUCCCAAGUUCUCCCAGCUGAACAGCGGCAGCGUUGGUCUCGGAGGCCAUGCUUUCCCUGUUGCCACACACAGCCUGGCUGGUGCACCUCUGCCCCCGUAGCACGCGUAGUCUCUGAGGUGCUUCAUCUUCAUGGCAUGAGUCUAGGAGGAGGGGCCUAGCCCACAUCUCAUGGAUUUAGAGGUUGGAAUCGGGACCUGGUGAAUCUGAAGAUGAGCCCCUUACCUCCACGACAGUGUACCUGUGAAGAAUUCCAGUGGCAGAGAAACAGACAUGGGUGGCCUGAAGUUUUGUAGGAUCUUCAUUUGUGAAGGACACCAGAAGCCUGGGCUGGUGGAGACAGAAGGGAUUAGAAGGGUGGGACAGAUUGUCUGCUCCCUUGGUUUUGAAACAGAACCCAGUGCAGACCUGGGUUCAGCAAAAGGUAGGGGGAGGGCUCUGGCUGCCCACCUCUGCCUCAACCAUAGCAGCUCUGUUCUACCUAUUCCAUACAUGUGCUUCUGGGAAAGUUUUUUUUUUUUUUUCCGGCCAUGCAGCAUGCGGGAUCUUCGUUCCCUGACCAGGGAUCGAACCUGUGCCCCCUGCAGUGGAAGCACGGAGUCUUAACCACUGGACUGCCAGGGAAGGCCCCAAGACUUUUUUUUUUUGACAGGAGACCUUCGUUCUUUAAAGUCUGAAAAUCACUUAUCUAGUUUAAUAUUCCAUCUAGAGAUGAGGAAACUGAGGUCUCGAUAGAGCUGCCAGAUAAACAGCAGGAUGCUCAUCAAAUCUGAAUUUCAAAUGUACAAAGAAAAAGAUUUUAGUCUAUCAAAAGUAUUGCACGGGAAUACAUAUUAAAAAUUAGUCAUUUUUGCUAAAUCUGACGACCCUAAGCCUAGAGAGCGUAACUGCCCUGCCCAGGAGAAGGUCAGGGCUGGAGCGUAGGAGAGGCGUAUGUGGCUGAUACAAAUGAGUAGCCUCCUGUCCGGAUGUGGACCUUGGUCAGAACAUGUUGUUGUAGGAGUUCAGAUCUUCCCAUGCUGGAGGCCUGGAAGUUGUUUUCAGCAGAGCCACACCCCUUUCCAGGCUGGAGUGAGGGAGGUUAGUGGAGACAGAGCCCUGGGGACAGAGCAGCCCACGACACUUGGGGCGGUGGAGAGCCAUGAACGGCUCCAGCACUGGCGCCUGCGGAAGGGGGCGCGCUGAAUCCUCGCCCUGAGAGCGCCCAGCUUUCUCUGGAGCGGGGAGAGAGGAGAGGAGUGCUGGGGGAGAGAAGGGGCUGAAAGUUAACAAGCAAAGUCACUCAAAUGAUCUCCUGUCUUACUCUUCCCUGACUCGGCCUCAUUAACACAAGGAGGCUAAUAUUUGGCUCCGGAGCGGAGGCAGGACCGAAGCUCUCUCCAGUGGCUCUGUUAAAUGUCAUAAAUUGCGAGAGCGCAGCUUGAGGAGUUUGUAAAUGGCAUCUGAGCCCGAGGCCAUCUAGUAAUAUUUAUACUGUGGAAGUUCAGCCUUUUCCCCCUUUAGAAAAAGUUUCCGAUUUGUUUCAGAGGAUGUCCAUCUUAAUCACUGUUUCGGGCGCUCUAAUGGGCAGGCUUCUCAGUUCCCGGCUGCCAGGGGAAGGGCGCGGAAGACGCGAGACUCCGCACUGCGGCUGGCUGCUCGGUGGCGCUCAGAUUGCAGACCUUUAUUCCGCCCGAUGCCGUCUUUCUCUUUGGGGUACAGUUAGGAAACAGAUGUCUAGCUGUCGUGGGCCAAGAGAAUCAUACUUAUUUUGUCUAUAAAAUCCGAAGAAUGAAUUAAAUAUGCCUGUUUAGCCAUGUCCAAAGAGCGUGAAACUCCUCAGGUGGGUUGAUGAAUCUCACCAAAGAUAAGAAAAUAAUAACAUACCUAAAACUUAUUGCUUGCCAGGCCCCCUGUUCUAAGCUAUAUAAUAUAUCAUAUUAUAUUAUAUUAGCAGUAUAUAUACAUAUAUACUGUAUAUAUUAGCUUAGAUAUAUAAGCUAUAUAAAUGUAUGUAUUUUGAUAUACAUAUAAUAUAUAUUGUAUAUACAUACAUGUAUAUAUAUUACCAUGAGUUAGGCACUGUUAUUAUGCCCAUUUUAAAGGGUGAGAAACUGAGGCUGAGGUCUUAACUGCUAAUCUCUAUUACACAUCCAAGUAGAGGGUCAUGCUAGCUGCUCACACUUAGGCUGGCUUCUGAACCCCAUAGUCUGGCAUUCUAGGCCCCUCACAGUUUGUCCCUAACCUGUCUUUUCAGUCUUAUUUUGCACAACUCAUCUCUGGGUACAACUCAGCUGUGGCCCUACUGUCCCUGAGGUCACCAGGCACACUCCUCCUCUGAGACUCUGGGUCUACUGGGCAUGUUGUGAAUGUUGGCUGCCCAUCUCUCCAUAAAGAAAAAAAUUCCAUCCACCCUUGGAUCAGGUCCUACCUUCUACCCAGACAUCCUCAUGGCCACUCCAGACCAUCGAGAUUUCUCUCUUGCUCUGAAUUAUUGGAGAACUGCUCCUCGGUCGGUUAAGCCUGGACAGCCUUGAAGUUGCUUUGUGCUGCCGCCCAAGGCUGAUGCUGUUUCUUAAUGACUCAUCUCUUUGUCUUGUUCCCAAACUAGAUUAUAAGCUUCAGGAGGGAAGAGGAUUUGAAUGAACAUAAUGGUCCCUUGGUCAGAGAUACUGAAGGAUAAGGGGCUGAGUGCUUUGUUUUACACUUGCUGAUUCUUAAAAGAACCACAAAAGAGGUUGACUGUGGUCCUGCUCCAUAUAUCUUCACUCUGGGAUCCAGGCUGAGCCGCAGGGGCAUUGCUGGGAGUGAGACAAGAGGUAAUAUGGUACAGCCGUGUGAUGGUGUCUAACGAUCCUACAUGGAAGUGGUACACAUCUCUUCUGCUCACUAAUUAAAACGUGUCCUUUUCCUCAGACUUCUCUUGUAGAUCUGUAUGAACCAGACAUUCAUCCUGCAUUGGGGUUGGCCAACUGAUUAAUGCUCAUGGGCCGGAUCUGGCCCACUACUUGUUUUUGUAUGGCUUGUGAGAGAAGAACGGUGUUUAGAUUUGUAAAAGAUUGAAAAAAAUCAAAAGAAGAAUAAUAUUUUGUGAGAUGUGAAACUUACAUGAAAUUGAGAUUGUAGUGUUUUUGUAAAUAAAGUUUUACUUAGACAAAACUA